AGCCUUACUGCAUCCUUGCAAGGAAUCAAUGAGAGAGCUUUGUUAAGAGGGAUGUACUAAGCUAACUGCAUCCAACUACCGUAACAUCAAGGAGCUGCUGAAGCAUGGAGGGUCUGUGCCCUGUCCAGUCAUCAUCAAAAAGGCUUUCUCCAGCAGCAGAUGUGAGUCGGUGCAGAGACCCACAGCCAGACAAUCUGCUGGGAGACAGUGUAACUUGGAUGUCACCAUUAGGUCUUUCCCAUCACAGCUUAGGGACACCAGGACUCCCCAAACUCCACCUAAUGUUGGACU